rnacentral:rRNA from 1 species
GACGAACGCUGGCGGCGUGCUUAACACAUGCAAGUCGAACGGAAAGGCCCCUUUGGGGGUACUCGAGUGGCGAACGGGUGAGUAACACGUGCGUAACCUGCCCUUGACUUCGGGAUAACUUCAGGAAACUGGGGCUAAUACCGGAUAGGAAUCCUUGCUGCAUGGUGGGGGUUGGAAAGCUUCGGCGGUUUUGGAUGGACUCGCGGCCUAUCAGCUUGUUGGUGGGGUAGUGGCUUACCAAGGCUUUGACGGGUAGCCGGCCUGAGAGGGCGACCGGCCACAUUGGGACUGAGAUACGGCCCAGACUCCUACGGGGGGCAGCAGGGGGGAAUAUUGCACAAUGGGCGGGAGCCUGAUGCAGCAACGCCGCGGGCGGGAUGACGGCCUUCGGGUUGUAAACCGCUUUCAGCAGGGGCGAAGCUUGUGGUGACGGUACCUGCAGAAGAAGCACCGGCUAACUACGUG